rnacentral:rRNA from 1 species
UACGUAGGGGGCGAGCGUUGUCCGGAAUCAUUGGGCGUAAAGCGCGUGUAGGCGGCUCGAUAAGUCCGGUGUGAAACCUUGGGGCUCAACCCCAAGCCUGCACUGGAUACUGUCGAGCUCGAGUCCGGGAGGGGAGAGCGGAAUUCCUAGUGUAGCGGUGAAAUGCGCAGAUAUUAGGAAGAACACCGGUGGCGAAGGCGGCUCUCUGGAACGGUACUGACGCUGAGACGCGAAAGCGUGGGGAGCGAACAGG